rnacentral:rRNA from 1 species
AUUGAACGCUGGCGGCAUGCCUUACACAUGCAAGUCGAACGGCAGCACGGGUGCUUGCACCUGGUGGCGAGUGGCGAACGGGUGAGUAAUACAUCGGAACAUGUCCUGUCGUGGGGGAUAGCCCGGCGAAAGCCGGAUUAAUACCGCAUACGAUCUACGGAUGAAAGCGGGGGCCCUUCGGGCCUCGCCCUAUAGGGUUGGCCGAUAGCUGAUUAGCUAGUUGGUGGGGUAAAGGCCUACCAAGGCGGCGAUCAGUAGCUGGUCUGAGAGGACGACCAGCCACACUGGGAGUGAGACACGGCCCAGACACCUACGGGAGGAAGCAGUGGGGAAUUUUGGGCAAUGGGCGAAAGCCUGAUCCAGCAAUGCCGCGUGUGUGAAGAAGGCCUUCGGGUUGUAGAGCACUUUUGUCCGGAAAGAAGUCCUUGGCUCUAAUACAGUCGGGGGAUGACGGUACCGGAAGAAUAAGCACCGGCUAACUACGUG